rnacentral:rRNA from 1 species
AUUGAACGCUGGCGGCAUGCCUUACACAUGCAAGUCGAACGGUAACGGGCCUUCGGGUGCCGACGAGUGGCGCACGGGUGAGUAAUACAUCGGAACGUGCCCGAUCGUGGGGGAUAACGAGGCGAAAGCUUUGCUAAUACCGCAUACGAUCUACGGAUGAAAGCAGGGGACCGCAAGGCCUUGCGCGGACGGAGCGGCCGAUGGCAGAUUAGGUAGUUGGUGGGAUAAAAGCCUACCAAGCCGACGAUCUGUAGCUGGUCUGAGAGGAUGAUCAGCCACACUGGGACUGAGACACGGCCCAGACUCCUACGGGAGGCAGCAGUGGGGAAUUUUGGACAAUGGGCGCAAGCCUGAUCCAGCCAUGCCGCGUGCAGGAUGAAGGCCUUCGGGUUGUAAACUGCUUUUGUACGGAACGAAAAGCCUUCUUUUAAUACAGGAGGGUCAUGACGGUACCGUAAGAAUAAGCACCGGCUAACUACGUG